rnacentral:tRNA from 1 species
GCCUGGCUGGCUUAGUCAGUAGAGCGUGAGACUCUUAAUCUCAGGGCUGUGAGUUCGAGCCCCACAAUAGGCA